GGCGGUUAAGGAAAAAGUAGCUAUUCCAGGGAUAGGGUUAAGUUCAGGGUUAAAGUGGGGUUAAAAUCUUUUUGUGUUUGGUUGGGGGUUGGAGUUAGUCUGGAAUAAUGAAAAAUAGUGUUUGGUUGGAAUAGGUGGGAUAAAAAGAUAAUGAUUGAUAAAGAACGAUAAUGAUUGGUUGGAGUAGGUGGGAAAAGAAGAUAAUGAUUGAUAAAGAAGGAUAAUGAUUGGUUGGAGUAGGUGGGAUAAGAAGAUAAUGAUUAAUAAAGAAGGAUAAUGGGGAUUAAAAUUUUUAUAAUGAUUAAAAAUAUGUAAAAUUUUGCGUAAUUGUAUACCAAAAAUUAUUUUUCACUACUCUUUUGUAAUUUAUAAAAAUUCCUCAAAUUUUCAAACAACAAUAUUAAAUUUGUCAUUUUUUUAAAUUUCACUCACAAUAGUAUUUCCUGAACUACAUUUAAUAUUUUAGUUAUAAUAUCAUUUUAACUCUCCAAAAUUACUAAUUGCCAACCUUUCAAAUUUAGCCCGUUGUGGAGUUGAGUAUUGUUAGGCGUUUUCAAAUCCGAUUUCUUCCGAUCUUUCAAACUUUGCAUUGCUAUUCGAAUAUCAUUAAUAAUUCUGAAAUAUUUACGUACAUCAAGUCAAUCUGCACAUCAACGAACUUUUACACAGAUAACAACACAUUGAAUCAAAAAUAAAAACAUAUACAACCAAAACAUUUUGAAAUAGUACAAAUAUAUAACAGAGUAAAAAAAUAAGAAUAUCUACAAACAUAUCUACCUACCAAUAUUCAACGCAGAAAAUAUCAACACAAUAUAUAACAUUAAUACAUAUUCCAUAACAUGCCUAAAUAUGCAAGUAUUACAAAGCAUAUCCAUCUCAUACAUCAUGAUCUUACAAUUGUCAAAUAACAAUAUAACCACUACACUCAAUUCUGCCAAAUAUCAAUACAAUUAUCUAAUUUAUAUAAAAUUAUAUUCUAGUGUUCCACAAUUGAUUUGUAAUAUUAGCACGUAGAUCCUCACCAUUUUGGGAGUCCUCAAUUACUCCCACUAAAUCGUCCACUCCACCUUCAUUAUCAGCGUCCUGUUCAUCUGCACCCUCAUCAGGAAAAAUGUUAUCAUUUGCUUGGUGACGGCGAAUGAAGUUAUGUAUUAUACAACAUGCCAUAGCAAUCAAGCAUUGAACUUUAUACGAAAACGGUGUUGCUACAUUUAGAAUUUUGAAACGCUUCUUCAAAAUGCCAAAUGUCCUCUCAACCGCAUUCCUUAAUUGAGCAUGCCGGUGGUUAUACAAAUCUCGUGGAUUUCGAUGAACGCGGGCCCGUGUGCUUGCGUCAAACUGACUAAUAUGAUAACGCUCUCCUCUAUAGGGUGCAAGAAAUUUUUCAGUAUUUGCAUAUCCCGAGUCUACUAAGUAAUACUUGCCUGCAAAUAAUAUAAUAACCAUAUGUCAUUAGUAUAAAAAACUUAUCUACAAUAGUGUUCAUAUAUAUUUAAAUGUAACAAAAAAU
rnacentral:lncRNA from 1 species